GGUGGCGGCGUGCUUACCAUGCAAGUCGAACGAUGAUCCCAGCUUGCUGGGGGAUUAGUGGCGAACGGGUGAGUAACACGUGAGUAACCUGCCCUUAACUCUGGGAUAAGCCUGGGAAACUGGGUCUAAUACCGGAUAUGACUCCUCAUCGCAUGGUGGGGGGUGGAAAGCUUUAUUGUGGUUUUGGAUGGACUCGCGGCCUAUCAGCUUGUUGGUGAGGUAAUGGCUCACCAAGGCGACGACGGGUAGCCGGCCUGAGAGGGUGACCGGCCACACUGGGACUGAGACACGGCCCAGACUCCUACGGGAGGCAGCAGUGGGGAAUAUUGCACAAUGGGCGAAAGCCUGAUGCAGCGACGCCGCGUGAGGGAUGACGGCCUUCGGGUUGUAAACCUCUUUCAGUAGGGAAGAAGCGAAAGUGACGGUACCUGCAGAAGAAGCGCCGGCUAACUACGUGCCAGCAGCCGCGGUAAUACGUAGGGCGCAAGCGUUAUCCGGAAUUAUUGGGCGUAAAGAGCUCGUAGGCGGUUUGUCGCGUCUGCCGUGAAAGUCCGGGGCUCAACUCCGGAUCUGCGGUGGGUACGGGCAGACUAGAGUGAUGUAGGGGAGACUGGAAUUCCUGGUGUAGCGGUGAAUUGCGCAGAUAUCGGGAGGAACACCUGUGGCGAAAGCGGCUCACUGGACCACAACUGACGCUGAGGCGCGAAAGCUAGGGGAGCAAACAGGAUUAGAUACCCUGGUAGUCCUAGCCCUAAACGAUGGAU
rnacentral:rRNA from 1 species